AUAUCCUACUCAAACGUGAGGGAAGAAGAUUAUAGCUUAGAUUUGAACUGAAAUGCUGUCUAUUUUGAAGGGAAGAGCUUGAAGUUUUGGACACCUUUUUCCGACGAUUCACCGCCGUUUUCAGGCAAGCCUUGGACACAAGGUUAAAUUUUCCGGCCACGUGCACGUGGCGGCGGCGGCGGUCCGGGCGACCGGCCGGCGAAGACUCCGGCGAGACUUCAAGGACAGAAUGUCUCCUCUUCGUGCGGAACACGGAAAUGAAAUUUUGAUUUUAAAUCGGUA